rnacentral:rRNA from 1 species
UACAGAGGAGCCAAGCGUUGUCCGGAUUGACUGGGCGUAAAGCGCACGCAGGCGGACGCGCGCGUGGGGUGUGAAAUCUGGCCGCUUAACGGCCAGGCGCCAUCCCAUACGGCGGGUCUGGAGCCUUGCAGAGGUCGGUGGAAUUGCCGGUGUAGCGGUGAAAUGCGUAGAUAUCUGAAGGAACAUCAGUGGCGAAAGCGACUUCCUGGACCAAUACUGACGCUCAUGUGCGAAAGCGUGGGGAGCAAACAGG